rnacentral:lncRNA from 1 species
AAGUGACAAGACUGAGGCAGGCAGAGUGGCCGAGCGGGGUAGAGGGGCUGGAGACAGCAGUCAUGUGGAUGUUUUGGCACAGGGUCUGAAGGAGCCUGAUUGUUGAAGCAAAACUUCCCGUUUACCUACUGAUUGGAGGGUUUUUGAGCAUCUGGAAGCCAGAACAAAAAUGCUUCUUUCCAUCCUAGACCAUCCAUCCUCCCGCUGACCUUCCAGAUGACUGCAGGUGCAUGAGCACGCCCAGCAGGGAUCAGCUGAGCAAAAUCACCUCGCCGAAUCAUAGGAGGGAAAGCUGCUGAGAAAACAUGGAAACACAGAAAGAGGAAAGUAAAAAGUACCCAGGGAGCCUCUGAGUUUGUGUGUGCACGUGGGUGAGGUCGCCAAAGGGGAGCAAACCUCCUACUUCCUGCAGCUCAGAUUACUUAUCAA